rnacentral:rRNA from 1 species
GGGGGAUCCCGGUGCAAGUGAGGUACCAGCCGCAUUGGAAAAACCGUGUGGCAAUGGGAAGACGUGAUGCGGAGUGAAGUUUAGUAAUGAAGUCCGUGAGCUGUGCGUCAAGAAAAGCCGCUAUUGUUCAUACCAUACCCGUACCGUAAACCGACACAGGUGGAUGAGGAGAGAAUCCUAAGGCCGGCGGAAGAAGCAUUGUCAAGGAACUCGGCAAAAUGACCCCGUAACUUCGGGAGAAGGGGUGCCUGCGAGAGCAGGCCGCAGAGAAUAGGCUCAAGCAACUGUUUAGCAAAAACACAGGUCUAUGCGAAACCGAAAGGUGAGGUAUAUGGGCUGACGCCUGCCCGGUGCUGGAAGGUUAAGAGGAGAGGUUAGCGCAAGCGAAGCUUUGAAUUUAAGCCCCAGUAAACGGCGGCCGUAACAAUAACGGUCCUAAGGUAGCGAAAUUCCUUGUCGGGUAAGUUCCGACCCGCACGAAAGGCGUAAUGAUUUGAGCGCUGUCUCGACAAUGCAUCCGGUGAAAUUGAAGUACCAGUGAAGAUGCUGGUUACCUGCGCCAGGACGGAAAGACCCCAUGGAGCUUUACUCCAGUUUGGUACUGGGAUCCGGUACUGCAUGUACAGGAUAGGUGGGAGGCUAUGAAUCGGUAACGCCAGUUGCCGAGGAGCCGCUGUUGGGAUACCACCCUUGCAGUAUUGGGUUUCUAACCAGCCGCCGUGACCCGGCGGUGGGACAAUGCCAGACGGGGAGUUUGACUGGGGCGGUCGCCUCCGAAAGGGUAUCGGAGGCGCCCAAAGGUUCCCUCAGGAUGACGGAAACCAUCCAAAGAGUGCAAAGGCAGAAGGGAGCUUGACUGCGACACCGACGGGUGGAGCAGGUACGAAAGUAGGGCUUAGUGAUCCGGUGGUAUUAAGUGGGAAUGCCAUCGCUCAACGGAUAAAAGCUACCCUGGGAUAACAGGCUUAUCACUCCCAAGAGUUCACAUCGACGGAGUGGUUUGGCACCUCGAUGUCGGCUCAUCGCAUCCUGGGGCUGUAGUAGGUCCCAAGGGUUGGGCUGUUCGCCCAUUAAAGCGGUACGCGAGCUGGGUUCAGAACGUCGUGAGACAGUUCGGUCCCUAUCCGGCGUGGGCGUAGGAUAUCUGAGAGGAGCUGUCCUUAGUACGAGAGGACCAGGAUGGACGGGCCGCUGGUGCACCGGUUAGACUGCCAAGUCUAUAGCCGGGUAGCCAAGCCCGGAAGGGAUAAACGCUGAAGGCAUCUAAGCGUGAAGCCCCCCUCAAGAUGAGAUAUCCCAUCCGAAAGGAGUAAACCCCCUUGAAGACGACGAGGUCGAUAGGGCAGAGGUGGAAGUGUGGUAACACAUGGAGCUGACUGCUACUAAUAGGGUGAGGGCUUGACCG